CGAGAUUUCCAGAAGAGCCGGGAGCUCUCAUCUUCAAACCCUAACUUGCUCAAAUCCAUCAAUUGAAAGGCCAAAUCAGUUCCAAAUAGAAAUCUAAGCUUAUAUUAGCGAUCACCUGAGUAAAGGGAUCACGAGUUUGACUCUUGACAAGCUAGAUGGAGGCUUGGGAAUGAAACGGGUCAAACGGAGCAAGUACGAAAAGGAAAGCGUGAUUUGGAUGCGAGGUAAGUAAAAGCUUACACCCUUUUUACUAUACAUCAGUUAUGUGUAUUGAAAAUGAAUAAGGAAAAGUUAGUAAUAGAGUUAUAAUAUUCCGACGCAAAUAAUAUGAGGCGGAACUAGUGCAAUGGCGAGAAAUCAUAAGCAAUGGCAAAAGGGGUAAAUUGGUAAAUUAGUCAUGCGACGAUGAACUAAUAAGAAAUUUUGAAACAUUACGUUAUGGUGUAAACCGGGAUGGGUAAAAGGGCAAGAUGGUAACUAGAUAUCAUCUCAUAAUGGAAAAUGGUCGUUCGGACUAAACGGGUCAAAUGGCAUUGGCAAGAUCAUUUGACAAUAUUAAUUGAUGAUCGCUUGUUGAGUUUUGUGAUUACAGGAAAUAUCAUACGUUUCGCGUUGGUAUUAAUUAGAAAUUAAUAGUGAGAGAUAUUUAAACGGGUCAAUCCUAUGAAUCGAGCCAGGUACGCCUAAAUGAAUUUAAAGUUAAAUGUGCAAUUUUGGUCAAAUAUAUAGUGAUGGUCCUUCGCUGUAAAAUGAAGGACAUAAAAUUGACCAAAAAGUCCUUGUUGGGUAAAACGGGGAAACGACCCUUAGAGGUUGUUUAGGAAUUUGUAUUAUGACUACGAAGUCCGUAGAUAUGUAUAAAAAUUAUAGGUAAGGAUAUUCGUGGGGCGAAUGUCUAAAAACGGGUCUUAUGCGUAAAAUGUCUAACCGAAGGGUAGAAAUUGGGAUUUUGGAUUCCUUAUGUUAAAUCCACCACAAAAUUGUUGUGGUGGAAUAAAAUUAGUUGUUUAGUAUGUGAAUAAAAGAUGGGAAGUGAAAAGAGUGACUUUGACGUCUAAAUGCUCAAAAGUCCCCUAAACGGGUCAAAAUAUACUAAGUAGUAAAUUGUGGUUAAAUGCUUAGAUAGAUACAAAUGAAUCAGUAAAUGUAAACGCCUACAUAAACUCUUUGGUGGGAACGAAAACAUUAAGGUUCGACAAGCCCAGGAUGGGUAAAUAUGAUAGGAAUUAACUAUUGAUUCUAUAGUAUGUAGAGUGAUGAUAAUCCCAAACGGGUCGAAUAAUCACCUAAGAAAUCUAUGAUCCAUUCGUGUAUAAAUCAGAUUUUAUGCAAACCAAGGUGAUAAACAAGUCCGUAAUUUAAUUACGGACGCGUAGGAAAAAGAUUCGUACAAAACGGAUAAGUAGAUAAAAAAGUUAUGGCAUUUUGAAGUUGAGUUUUUGUAAAAACUUGAGCUGGGCAAAAAAAAUGCAGACCCAGAACCAGACCUGCUGGAAAAUGGUCUUCCCCGCGCCACGCGAAGGGAAACCAUCAAACUGGCGCGACACGCGGGCGCUGUCGCGGCACACGAACGAUCUAAGGUAGUCUCUCGCGUGGCGCGAGAGACGUAAAACCUAUUUUAUUUUGUUAGUUUGACUAUGGAACUUGUUUAAACUCGUUUAUAAGUUAUCAAAACUAAAUUUUAGUUGGUUUUGAUCAUAGGUAAUGUCAAGGGUUUCCGGAUGAAGAUCAAGCUCAACGAAGAACCGAACACGAUCAAGAUACAAGCUUCCGCACUGCGUUUCUUUCAAAUUUUUAAACGACGAACUCAAUUUCAUUAUGUUGUAUUAUUUUUAAAAUUGUAAAAGUUUUUAAUAAGCCCGUAUCUUUAUAUGAAUGUGUAUUC